rnacentral:tRNA from 1 species
GCGGGCGUAACUCAAUUGGCAGAGUGUCGGCUUUCCAAGCCGAAUGUUGAGGGUUCAACUCCCUUCGCCCGCU